UGGAUUAUAUCUUGAAGUAUGUGAUAUCUGUGAACUAAUUAAAUGAGCACUCUGCGAUGUCAUUGGCAGAACUUGCUUACGGGGAUCUAAAUUUGACCUCCUCGAAAACUGAGACAUUCUUGGAUCUGCAUGAGAUUCAGUCUGUGUAUGAUACUCGCUAGUACGACUGUUAACUACUUGAUUAAAAUUGCCGGUUGAGAUUGAUGGAGACAGAGGAAGCUGACGCCUCGCUGACUCUAAAGAUGGAGGGGCAGCUCCCUGAGUUUCUAGCGGUUGCAUUAUGGUUCCCCUGGAUAAACUUGCAGUCUUCGCUAUUCCAUAACUUGGUGUCCCCUCAUGACUUGAAUCUUUCUGUGACUGGAAUGAUUUCCCAACUAUGGAAUUUGUCGCUGUUGACCCACUGAAAGAGGGUAGAUAACCUCUUGGAUGAUCUG
rnacentral:misc_RNA from 1 species